rnacentral:lncRNA from 1 species
AUUUUUGCAAUUAACCACAAUUUGAAUACGUAAUAGGAUACUGAAUGACAUAAGGCUGCAUAUGUAAACUACUAAUCUGGAGGUGAAUAAUAGUAAGGAUAUGAUCCUGCAAGACCAUGGUGUAUUCGGUGCAAAAUAUGCAUAUAGUGCAGCAACAUAAUUAACUUGAGGUUCAAAAGGGUAUGGUUGUUUUUGAUGUUUAGGCGAAGAUUUCAGUCCCUAACCUUUAUUUGACCCCAACUCCGUUGUUUCUGGUCAGCUCCUUUCUCCUUGAACUUGGCCAAAAGUUCUUCAAGGCUCGGCCUCACUUUUCUCCCCAAAGUGGAUUUAGCUUCAGGGCUCCUGGAUGAACUGGUCGGACCAGUUUUGAAAUCGGUCAAGCCGGUUUUCACAGAACCGGCAUUCUUGCUUACAUCUUGCCCCC